GUUUACAGUGCAUGGGCAACAGAGAGAAACACAAUUGUGCAGUUUGAGGCCAUUUGGCAAAGAGGAGAUGGGGGUUGUGAGCAGGUGGGGCAGGGUUAUGUGCAUGUAGGUGUGCAUCUGUAUGUUGUAGUUUGUAUGUGUAUGUUUUAUAUUGUAAAAUAUUUUAACAAUCGUACAAAAAUAUAUAACAAAACAGAAAUUCCAGUAACUUCUGAUUAAUUAAAAGAAAAUCACAUUUCGGAGUAAAACGCUGUGCUAUCAUGCUAAACAACCGAAAUGCCAAAUUCCUGAUCACAUUCCAUCCACAAAUGAAUGAACAAUGUGAUCCACACAUGCAGAUGCUAUUUCCUGUUCCCCAGGCAGCACACAGACACAGGGGCAGCUAUGAUAGAGGAGUUAACAGAACAAUAAGGAACUGUCCUCCUCUCAGGGAUCACAAAAUAACAACUAUUCCCCACAGUGCUGCACGGGCCACGUCCACAUUUGGUGUCUGGGAAGGGUGAGAGAGGUCUGACUGUGAGAAGCCUGGGCUGGUGUCUGGGAAGGGUGAGAGAGGUCACUGUGAGAAGCCUGGGCUGGUGUCUGGGAAGGGUGAGAGAGGUCUGACUGUGAGAAGCCUGGGCUGGUGUCUGGGAAGGGUGAGAGAGGUCUGACUGUGAGAAGCCUGGGCUGGUGUCUGGGAGGGGUGAGAGAGGUCUGACUGUGAGAAGCCUGGGCUGG
ensembl:lncRNA